GCCUACGGGACGCAGCAGUGGGGGAUAUUGCACAAUGGGGGAAACCCUGAUGCAGCGACGCCGCGUGAGCGAUGAAGUAUUUCGGUAUGUAAAGCUCUAUCAGCAGGGAAGAAAAUGACGGUACCUGACUAAGAAGCCCCGGCUAACUACGUGCCAGCAGCCGCGGUAAUACGUAGGGGGCAAGCGUUAUCCGGAUUCACUGGGCGUAAAGGGAGCGCAGGCGGCAUGGCAAGUCUGAUGUGAAAACCCGGGGCCCAACCCCGGGAGUGCAUUGGAAACUGCCAGGCUGGAGUGUCGGAGGGGUA
rnacentral:rRNA from 1 species